ACGGGGAGACCUUCAAAGACUUGCAGUGACCUACCUUUGCUGCUGAUGUACCAGUAAGCUUAACUACGGACUUGCUGUCUCCUGUGACCAGCAAAGAGAAACCAGACAUAGGCUUAUGCAGAACAGUUCCUAGAACAUGAAUGAUCUGAAAUCGCUUCACUUUCACAUCUAACUCCAACCAGGGUGGUGUUUUGGUUGAAACCGACUGUGAACUGAUUCCUACGGCAGAGCACAGGGUGGGUGCUGGCCACAGUUCAUGGUAAGCAGUCUGAGCGGAUCCUUACCCCACUGCAGAAGCAAUAAAACCCACCCCCUGCUGAAGCGGUAGGAGCGCUCACCCGGUUUGUACCUCUCGUGAGACCGUGAACUCCAGAAAUCCAACCUUACCCACAAACUGCUAAUUCGGUGGAAAGAAGUCUUCAAAUCUAGGCCAGCAGGUGAUAGUAAACACGGAAAUAGAAGCUGAGCAGAAGGUGCUGGUUUGUCUUAAGUUAGAAAACUGAGAUCAUUUGUAUGUGGCCUCAGCUUCAAAUAGCUCAUUUGGUGUUUCCUCUUGGAUUUAUAGAGGUUGUUAUAGGUAUUUGUUUUUAGCAAGAGAACGAGAACUCUUUAAUAGUGGAUUUUUUUAAAAAAAGAUUUUAUUUAUUUAUUUGACAGGCAGAGAUCACAAGU